AUUGAACGCUAGCGGGAUGCUUUACACAUGCAAGUCGAACGGUAGCACGAAGAAAGCUUGCUUUCUUUGGUGACGAGUGGCGAACGGGUGAGUAAUGUAUCGGAACGUACCCAGUAGCGGGGGAUAACUACGCGAAAGCGUGGCUAAUACCGCAUACGCCCUACGGGGGAAAGGGGGGGAUCGCAAGACCUCUCCCUAUUGGAGAGGCCGAUAUCGGAUUAGCUAGUUGGUGGGGUAAAGGCCUACCAAGGCGACGAUCCGUAGCUGGUUUGAGAGGACGACCAGCCACACUGGGACUGAGACACGGCCCAGACUCCGACGGGAGGCAGCAGUGGGGAAUUUUGGACAAUGGGGGCAACCCUGAUCCAGCCAUCCCGCGUGUGCGAUGAAGGCCUUCGGGUUGUAAAGCACUUUUGGCAGAGAAGAAACGACUCUGGAUAAUACCCGGGGUUAAUGACGGUAUCUGCAGAAUAAGCACCGGCUAACUACGUGCCAGCAGCCGCAGUAAAAC
rnacentral:rRNA from 1 species